rnacentral:rRNA from 1 species
GACGUAGGGCGCGAGCGUUGUCCGGAUUUAUUGGGCGUAAAGAGCUCGUAGGCGGCUUGUUGCGUCGACUGUGAAAACCCGCGGCUUAACUGCGGGCUUGCAGUUGAUACGGGCAGGCUAGAGUUCGGUAGGGGAGACUGGAAUUCCUGGUGUAGCGGUGAAAUGCGCAGAUAUCAGGAGGAACACCGGUGGCGAAGGCGGGUCUCUGGGCCGAUACUGACGCUGAGGCGCGAAAGCCAGGGGAGCGAACGGG